rnacentral:ncRNA from 1 species
GUGUUCGUAGAAAGGAGAGAUGGUUGGCAUCUCCCCUGACAGGGACGGGAACAAGCCUUCGGGCUUUACCUGUUACCACACAUCCGGUUAAGGCUACCCACCUCUUGGUGGAUCUAUAACCCAAUUUUUUU